CACAAGUUGAAUUCUUUUCGACGUUGAUCGUCGGCACUGCUGGUUAAUGCGGUUGUCAAAAUUCUUACGUUUUAUCAUUAGUUAUUAUUUAAGUUACCGCAUUUGUGUUCAGUUAACAAACUAAAAAAUUCCUUUCUAGGUAGCAUGACUAGAUGAUCCCAGUUUGCAUUUCGACAGAUCGCAUAGUGUUGGCUUAGGAAGUCAAAGUAACUUAAAUUUUAAGAUUGUGCUGGGCAUAUUCACUCAAAAUUAAUUACGCUUGGCUUUUAAAAUCUACACUUGACAAGUUAUUUUGCAAACAUGUGGUCAUGGCAAGGUGGCUACUGUGUUUUAGGUGAUACGGUAGUCGAGAUUGAAUUGUGAAAUCCAGUUAUUGUAGGUGGAAUUAAGAUAUCUAGGCAUUUAACGGAGUUUUCUGAUGGUUUGUUCUGCUGUCCAUGAGGCUGCACUGUACAAUGGAAUUCUAGUGGUACUACUUGUUGCCAAAGCAGUUUGGGCUACCCUAUCUGUACUUUGUGAUUGUGGCAUGAUGGAAUUCAAAUAUGAAUUUGACCAGUGCUUGGUGGUGAUGCAGCUUGAUGACGUGCUACUCCACAUGGAAAGUACCAUUAAAUAUUUAAAAACAAAAUUUAUGUACGUUAACAAAAUACUUUGAAAAAGAACAAGUUUGCAGAAGUUGUGCUUGUGAGUGAAAGUUCUUCUUUUCACUGUGGUUAUUUGGUGGUGGUAAGAAUGCUGGCAGGGAAGUUUUCAUUGUUUCCGUAAGCCUAUGUUAAUUCUCGAUUCUUUUCAGAGUUAGCCUGUUGCUUCAUGGACCAUUUUUCUUGACUGUUAUAUUAGUUUGCUACUGUAGUUCACUCUUUGCUUGAUUGUUUUUUUAGUUUCUGUUAAUAAUAGACUGGUUUCCCAAUC
rnacentral:lncRNA from 1 species